ACCGGGUGGUUAUUGCGAGAGGUCCCCACCCGAUCCCAUUCCGAACUCGGUCGUUAAGCCUCUCAGCGCCGAUGGUACUUUGUCUUAAGGCACGGGAGAGUAGGUCGCCGCCCGGU
rnacentral:rRNA from 1 species